CCUACGGGAGGCAGCAGUGAGGAAUAUUGGUCAAUGGACGAGAGUCUGAACCAGCCACGCAGCGUGAAGGAUGACUGCCCUAUGGGUUGUAAACUUCUUUUAUAUGGGAAUAAAAUGUUCCACGUGUGGGAUUUUGUAUGUACCAUAUGAAUAAGGAUCGGCUAACUCCGGGCCAGCAGCCGCGGUAAUACGGAGGAUCCGAGCGUUAUCCGGUUUUAUUGGGUUUAAAGGGAGCGUAGGUGGAGUGUUAAGUCGGUUGUGAAAGUUUGCGGCUCAACCGUAAAAUUGCAGUUGAAACUGGCAGUCUGGAGUGCAGUAGAGGUGGGCGGAAUUCGUGGUGUAGCGGUGAAAUGCUUAGAUAUCACGAAGAACUCCGAUUGCGAAGGCAGCUCACUGGACUGCAACUGACACUGAGGCUCGAAAGUGUGGGUAUCAAACAGGAUUAGAUACCCCUGUAGUC
rnacentral:rRNA from 1 species